UAAGAUUAAUUAAUAAGGUUUAUUUGUUAAAAUGUGUUUCAAGCUCUCUGACGAUGACAUAUUAGCAUUUUUUAAGAGUGCUUCUACUAAUAUAGAGGGGAUGUUUUUUGUUUUCAAGAUAAGGAGAGAUGAUGACGCAUGUAAAUUUUCUAUUUAUGGAAAUAAAGAGUAUCUUUAUGUGGCUGCCGUAUCUUUCUAUAUGGGCUUAGCUUGGGCCCAAACGGAAGAAAAGCCCAGAUAUGCGAGAUAUGCUUAGCAAGAAGCCUAGGACGUGACGUCGUGAUUUUAGUCCGAGAAAAAAAUAGCGUUUCUUUCUGCCAAGUUCAUCCUCCUCAAUCGCCAUUUUCAGCGAGUCAACCACACAUGCAUCAUCACGUUCCUCUCUUUCGAUUCCUUCCUUGAGAUCCCGGUUCCGUCCCGCCGCUUCACACAUUUGUGCUCCGGCGAUCGAUUACUCGACGUUCGUCGUAUCCGAAACGGUGUCAGAAGAUGAGCUUUAGGGGCUGCAGCUUGUCUUCAAUGAGCUUAGUCGGAAGAAACGCCCAGAUAUGCGAGCUAUGAAGAAAGCUUAGCCGGAAGUUGAAAAGAAAAAUGGCGUUUUUUAAUCGGUGAACUAAUUAUUACACAAUUCUAGUUUCAUUAGGAUCACAGAAGAUACUUGGCAGAGCGUGAGUUCGAGUCGCUCAAGGAGAGGACUUCAGGAAAGAGGGAAGGGUUUUACUCGGGUCGCCUGCAUAAAUGCUACCCUUCCAUCGUUGCAACUAUCAAGCUCUUCUGAGGAUUUAUGCUCUGCAUGUAAGGUCUGUCUAUUCAAUUGCUCAUCUUGUGUUCACUCUGCAUCUCGGUAGAGUUAGUAUACUUCUCAUGGGAGUUUUAACUUUUAAGAGGGUUGCUUGCAUAAAUAUGGAUUUAUGUUAUGCUUCAUCUGUUUCACUGUCGAUUAAAUUUCUAAGUUCUCUGAUGGCAUAGAAGAUAGAGUUGUGGUGGGGAGUCUUGAUCUUAACCUAUAGCUUUGCCUCCCUGAUGAAAUUGCUGGAACAAAACCGCAAGUGUUUGAUGUUGGCAACAAUGCUGAACUUUAUCUGAUAUUGGAAAUAUUGAGAAGCUUAAGAGUCUUUUAGGUGUUAUAGGGGAUUGGUGUGGCUUUUUUCGAGAGCAUACUUAAGCAACGUCUGUAUUGCAAAAGAACUGCAUCGCAAUGGAGUUGGUUACAAACUCAUUGGAAAGUCUAAGGAAGUUGGUAGAGAAUGGGGCAUAACGGAUAUGUUCGUACAUUUAACCGUGGACAAUGAAGCAGCGAAGAGGCUAUAUAUGAAAAGUGGGUUCGAGCAAGAGACCUCGGAGCCAGCCAGCGUGACAAGCUCGAUUCCUGAAAGUGGAUUAUAAUGUGAAUCUAGCUUUUUUCUUCUUCUUUCUUUUUUUUGAGAUUCACUUUGCUUUUUGCCUCAAAAAGUGUUUUUAUUUUUAUUUUUUUAAGAUCAAAAAGCUUACUUUUUUUCUCCAAUGGAAACAUUAAUUGGAACAUUUUUGGAAGACAACUCGGUGAUGGCUUGUUUUG